UUGGGUAUGAAUUUGUAAAUAAUGUGUGUUGGCUGUAAGACUUGGUGGUGUAAACAUCACAUUAAUGUUGCUCCGUUAGGAGUGUAUAAGGCCAUUCCUUCUUAAAUGCUAUUUAUUAUUUUGAGUGAUCACUCUUUGUUUUUUCGUUUUAUUUAUUUACUUUAAUAAUGCAUGUUCGCGCUUUCUUUGGUUAGAAAAGGGCGGACUCCAGUGCUAAGUUUGGGCUUGGCCUUCUCUUGUGGCUCGACCACUUUAACUUUGAGCUUCGGCUUUUACUCUAAUAUUUGUUCCUAACCUAUUGGGAAAGCUUGAUGCUUUCUUAAGCUUAACUUACUUGUUAAUUUGGAGUCUGCCCUAUUUCUUCUACUUUCAUUAUUUCCCUUAAAUUGGCCUCUUAAAAUUGCCUCUUAAAAUUACAGCUAAAUCCGCUUGCUGGCAAAAGAUUUUAAGAAUAACUGCGAGUCUGGUGGGAUACGGAUUUACGAUCUCUUUGGAACCGUCGUCUACCUCUGGCUUAAAAUUUAAAGAUCCUUCUGGAUGUUCUGGUUAUGUUGGGCCGGGUUUGUUCGUCUGUGUAACGUCGGCGAGCCUGUAUGAACCAGCUAGCAAGUGUUAUUUUUUGGGACUUGGUUCCUUCCUAAUUUCUGCGAAUGCGUCUUGAUUCCUCAAGCUUGGGACCAGUCGUCUAUGGGAUCAAGUUCCUCAAUAAAAGUU
rnacentral:lncRNA from 1 species